rnacentral:rRNA from 1 species
AGAGUUUGAUCAUGGCUCAGAACGAACGCUGGCGGCGUGCUUAACACAUGCAAGUCGAACGAGAAAGGGGUCUUCGGACCCUAAGUAGAGUGGCGCACGGGUGAGUAACGCGUAGGUAAUCUAUCCUUACAUUUGGGAUAACAUCGGGAAACUGGUGCUAAUACCGAAUGGUCUUCAUUGCUUUGGGGCGAUGGAGUAAAGGUGGCCUCUUCAUGAAAGCUACCGUGUAGGGAUGAGCCUGCGUACCAUUAGCUAGUAGGUGGGGUAAUGGCCCACCUAGGCUACGAUGGUUAGCGGGUCUGAGAGGAUGAUCCGCCACACUGGAACUGAAACACGGACCAGACUCCUACGGGAGGCAGCAGUGAGGAAUAUUGCGCAAUGGGGGAAACCCUGACGCAGCGACGCCGCGUGAGUGAGGAAGGUUUUCGGAUCGUAAAGCUCUGUCAGAAGGGAAGAAGUGUUAUAUGGUUAAUACCCGUAUAAUUUGACGGUACCUUCAGAGGAAGCACCGGCUAACUCCGUGCCAGCAGCCGCGGUAAUACGGGGGGUGCAAGCGUUAUUCGGAAUUACUGGGCGUAAAGAG